GUGCUCACUUUGGCAGCACGUACACUAAACUGGAACAAUACAGGGAAAGUUAGCAUGGUCCCUGCACAAGGCUGACCUGUGAAUUCGUGAAACGUUCCAGACUUUU